rnacentral:rRNA from 1 species
GACGAACGCUGGCGGCGUGCCUAAUACAUGCAAGUAGAACGCUGAAGAGAGGAGCUUGCUCUUCUUGGAUGAGUUGCGAACGGGUGAGUAACGCGUAGGUAACCUGCCUUGUAGCGGGGGAUAACUAUUGGAAACGAUAGCUAAUACCGCAUAACAAUUGAUGACACAUGGCAUUUAUUUGAAAGGGGCAAUUGCUCCACUACAAGAUUGACCUGCGUUGUAUUAACUAGUAGGGUAGGUAAUGGCUCACCUAGGCGAAGAUACAUAACCGACCUGGGAGGGUGAACCGCCCCCAUGGGACCUGGACACGGCCCAGAACCCCACGGGGGGCAGGAGGAGGGGAUUCUUGGCAAUUGGGGCAACGCUGGACGGGCAAAGCCGGGGGAGUGGAGAAGGGUCUUCGAUCGUUAAGACCCUUUGUAAGUGAAGAAAGGGUGGGAUAGUGGAAAGUUCACGCUGUGACGGUAGCUAACCAGAAAGCGACGGCUAACUACGUG